UUUCUUCUCAGCUACCAUCUCUAUGGAAAAUGAAGGCAGUGCUGUGUGAAUCGCUGAUUGUGUGUAUGCCUGCUACCAAAGCUAGAAGCAUCUCACAUUGUGAAGUAGAGGGAUGACAAACUGCAGAGACUGAAAUUCUCCAGGAAGGAAACUUCAUGUAUUUGAGGAAGUACUAAGCAUCAUGGUGGUAUUUAGCAUAAUUGGAAUAUCAUUGGAAGCAGAAGACUGUGAAUGAUGAGUUAUUAGUCAGCACACGACACCACAUACACAUUCAGUUAAUAGAAAAUAAGCAGCUC